GUUGAAAAGUACUUUCAUGUGUGCGCUGAUAUUUUCAGACUUAUAUUCAGAGGCAUUAGUGAUGUUUUUUAUCACACCUGUAUGAAUGCACACACCUUUUCUGUGCUUUAAGCGGGCUUGUAAUAUAAAACAAUUUUUGGAUGGUUCUAGCUUUAACUUUCCAGCAUUUCCAGCGAUAAGGCAAAACACAAAAUCCUCUCAACACAGCAUUUGUCCUCAUCGUAGCAUUAUAACUAAUAAAUAGCUAGCACUGUUUGUUCCAGCAUGCUAUUCAAUUCUCAAUUCUGAUUGGUCAGAAAGUGUUGAUUCAAAUGGCAGCUUUAUAGCUGCUAUAACGCAAGUGAUAACAGGAACGAACUUGUUUUGCAGACAUUCCACAACAUUAAAGUAACUAUAUAUGGAUAAAAAUUGAUGGUGUCAUUCUUGAAUAAGUGAAAAUGGGUAAUUGUUGGUAAAUCAAUAUGUUAUAUUGAUUGAGGAAUAAAACACAGAGGCAACACACCACACUGUUAGAAUCACAUGAAUGUUUGUUUACUCGUUAUGAUGUAUUAUGAAGAACACAACACAAAAGUGAAUACAAACCAUGAAUCAGAAAUGUUAAUGUUUUCUUGUUGUUCUUUUGUUUGAAAAUAAAGAUGGAAUUGUAAUGUUUAUUUAGUUUAGUUCUGUUUGAAUUGUGGUUGGUGUUUAUUUAGUUUAGGCUUGUUUACUGAUGGUUGGUGUUUAUUUAGUUUAGGCUUGUUUACUGAUGGUUGGUGUUUAUUUAGUUUAGGCUUGUUUACUGAUGGUUGGUGUUUAUUUAGUUUAGGCUUGUUUACUGAUGGUUGGUGUUUAUUUAGUUUAGGCUUGUUUGCUGAUGGUUGGUGUUUAUUUAGUUUAGGCUUGUUGGCUGAUGGUUGGUGUUUAUUAAUUAGGCUUGUUUGCUGAUGGUUGGUGUUUAUUUAGUUUAGGCUUGUUUACUGAUGGUUGGUGUUUAUUUAGUUUAGGCUUGUUUACUGAUGGUUGGUGUUUAUUUAGUUUAGGCUUGUUACUGAUGGUUGGUGUUUAUUUAGUUUAGGCUUGUUUGCUGAUGUUGGUGUUUAUUUAGUUUAGGCUUGUUUACUGAUGGUUGUGUUUAUUUAGUUUAGGCUUGUUUACUGAUGGUUGGUGUUAUUUAGUUUUGGCUAUGGUUGUGUUGUAUUAGUUUGUUUGCUGAUGGUUGGUGUUUAGUUUAGCUUAGGCUUGUUUGCUGAUGGUUGGUGUUUAUUUAGUUUUGGCUUGUUUGCUGAUGGUUGGUGUUUAUUUAGUUUAGGCUUGUUUGCUGAUGGUUGGUGUUUAUUUAGUUUAGGCUUGUUUACUGAUGGGUGUUUAUUUAGUUUAGGCUUGUUUGCUGAUGGUUGGUGUUUAUUUAGUUUAGGCUUGUUUACUGAUGGUUGGUGUUUAUUUAGUUUAGGCUUGUUUACUGAUGGUGUUUAUUUAGUUUAGGCUUGUUUGCUGAUGGUUGGUGUUUAUUUAGUUUAGGCUUGUUUACUGAUGGUUGGUGUUUAUUUAGUUUAGGCUUGUUUACUGAUGGUUGGUGUUUAUUUAGUUUAGGCUUGUUUGCUGAUGGUUGGUGUUUAUUAAUUUAGGCUUGUUUACUGAUGGUUGGUGUUUAUUUAGUUUAGGCUUGUUUGCUGAUGGUUGGUGUUUAUUAAUUUAGGCUUGUUUACUGAUGGUUGGUGUUUAUUUAGUUUAGGCUUGUUUGCUGAUGGUUGGUGUUUAUUUAGGUCGAUUUUGUUUGCUGCUGUUUAAUAUUUAUUUAGUUUCUUUUUGUUUGCUGAUGGUUUUUUAACAUUUAUUUAGAUAUGUUUGUGGAUGUUUGGUGCUUAUUUACUUUGGUUUUGUUUGCUGUUGUUUGAAUUUUAGGUGUUUGUUUAGCUUUGUUUUAUUUGCUGAUUGUAUUUUUUUUUUUGAUUGAGUUUGGUGUAAAUUGUGGUUGGUGUUUAUUUAGGUUGGUUUUAUUAUUAUUUGCUGCCUUUAAUAUUCGUUUAGUUUGCAUUUAUUUGCUGAUGGUUGGUGUUUAUUUUGUUCGUUUUUUGGCUGCUGUUUGUGUACAGUAAUGUUAUUUGCUUUCAUUUUCUUUGCUUUUUUGUGUUUAUUAUUUUUGUUUGCCUCAGGGUUUAUGUAUAUUCAGUUUGGUUUUGUUUGUGUCAUUGUUAUUGUUUAUUUUGUUUGGUUUUGUUUGCUGCUAACCAAUAUUGAUUUAGUUAUGUUUGUUGGUGGUAUUUUAAUGUGAAUGUAGUUUUGUUUGCCUCAGGGUUGAUGUAUAUUCAGUUUUGUUUUGUUUGUGUCAUUGUUAGUGUUUAUUUAGUUUGCUUUUGUUUGUUGAUGGUAUUUUAAUGUUAACGUAGUUUUGUUUGCUGACUUAAUGUUUAUUUAGUGUGGCAUUGUUUUCUGUGUAAUAUUUAUUUAAUGUAGUUUUUUGUUGAUGGCACUUAUUUAUUUAUGGGGGGGAGGGGGGGGGGGGGGGCGUUGGCUGCUGUUUGUGUAAUGGCUGACACAGUGGUAGAGUGAUACAGCAGGUAGCGUUGCCACCUCAUAGCUUCAGGGUCCCAGGUUUGAUCCUGAGCUCUGUUCUUCAGUUUCCACCCACUCUACUAAAUCGUCCAGGAAUUGACUAUUCUAAACCGCCCCUAGGUGUGAAUGAAUGUGUGAAUUCUCUUGGCUUGCACCCAAUGUUCCUGGGUCUGGCUCCGGUUCCACCACAACGCUGAACAGGAUGCUGAAAAAGAAUGAAAAAGUAAAUUAAUUAAUGUGUUCGUUUAUUUAGUUUAGUUUUGUUUGCUGGUGGUUAAUGUUCAUUUAAUAUGGUUUUGUUUGCUGGUGUUUCUUCUGGUCACUAAUACAGAACCUUCAUUGCUACCACUGCUGUUGGGAUCAUACCAGAUCAUACCAUCCACAUAUUAACCCAAACACAGUGUUUUAUAGUUAAGUUUUGGAAACUUGAGCAAGAGCUCCAGCAUCUGCACUUUAUACGAUGGCAGCCAUGUUAGCGGUCUUCCAUACAGAGAGCUUUUGAAGUUCAUGGGCUCUGUAAUCACUCGCUUGCUUCUAUAGUUAGCGCACCAGGACACAUGUGAAUUUAACGGCAACUGUCAAAAUGUUCCAACUUUAAAAUGUUCCUACAAUACUCUUAACUUUUGUUUUUUAUUUUUUACAUGUAACAUUCAUGCGGCCUGUUAUCUGGGACGGAGGAUUUUCAGAAUUAUUUGAUAAUUACAAUAAUUCUGAGAUGAUGGUGUUAUUUUCUCGCAGUUAUGGCUUCUGCUAAGCCACAGUGUUCAUCUUUCUGCUGGCAGAUGCAUUUUAAAUACCAUUUUAAAUUACAGGUCAUCUAGCAUCAGGAUGAGAAAAAGACAUGCACAUUAGGAGAACGGAAAUGGUAACACACUGAGGGAAUUUAAAAACAAAUACCAUAUACUGUAUAAAAAAAGUGUGAGAUGUUUGACUUUCUGCAUUUUUGAUGACAAAAAAAAAAACAUCUCGGAAACUAUAGCAAUGCAUGUGAAUGUGUUUGAAGGUUAAUUCCACUGAAAGACCGUUUUUGUCAUAUUUAUAGUGAUUCUCACUGAUGAUAUAAGAACAAAAUUAGAAAGAACAGAAACAUUUAGUCAAAUCAGCAUUUAGCAUAUAAAGCGGUAAUUAAAAAGAAUUAAUUUAAAAAAAACAUUUAAAACAUUUUGAAAAAAAUAUAAAAGGAUAUUGUGACACCUGAAAAAGUGUAUUGUGACAAUUUAUUCACAUAUUUAUGUUAUAUCGGAAAAUCACUCAAGAUAAGACAAGCCUAGUUCUCAUCAGACAUUUGAGAUAUUGUUCACAUCACCAUAGCAACUGUAGCAAUACAGUGGAACUCGAAAACUUGCAUUUUACAAACAUAAAAGCUUUUUUGAAGCUUUUUUCCCCAUUUCACUGUAUUCAUGAUUUAGUUAUGGCAUAAGACUAUCUAUCCACCACUAUCUGUGUGGUUAUGUUUUUAAACAUCAAAAAGAUAGAUUAAAUGAGUUAAACAUGUCUUUUAGCAGUAGGAAAGUUAAAGAGCUGUCAAAUGAAUAAAAAAACAACAACGUACAAUUCGGCAGAAGAGCAGGUCUAUAUUAAAACAGAGGAAAAUAGUAAUAGCUUUUUUCUUUUCUGGAAGUUAUUAGUAGUUUUACCAUGCCAAGUUCAGCUUAUAGUUUCUGCUCAUAAAGGACCAGAGAGAGACAGCCAAAUGACUGUGGCUGAUGUUGGAGCCAACCACCGCCGAAAUGGCCCCCAGUGGCUCAUACACCGCCGCGUCACGUUACACACAUACUGAUCGUCUCUUAAAACACUACACCAUGGCACAAGAAAUAAAUCUGAAUUAAAUGCCAAAUGAAAUAUGUGUAAAGCUUCAUAUGGCACAUAAGAAUAGAUUAGACUGAGACAUGCAUUCAUUGUGAAUGGACCAUGUUUGUUUUAUAAGCUGAAAGGCAUAAAUUUGGAGGCUGAAGGAGGUGUGCCUUAGUUCCAGUGAAGGAGGUGUGGCCUCUGUGCCUUAGUCCCAGUGAAGGAGGUGUGGCCUCUGUGCCUUAGUUCCAGUGAAGGAGGUGUGGCCUCUGUGCCUUAGUCCCAGUGAAGGAGGUGUGGCCUCUGUGCCUUAGUUCCAGUGAAGGAGGUGUGGCCUCUGUGCCUUAGUCCCAGUGAAGGAGGUGUGGCUUCUGUGCCUUAUUUCCAGUGAAGGAGGUGUGGCCUCUGUGCCUUAGUCCCAGUGAAGGAGGUUUGGCUUCUGUGCCUUAGACCCAGUGAAGGAGGUGUGGCCUCUGUGCCUUAGUCCCAGUGAAGGAGGUGUGGCCUCUGUGGUUGUCAGUCCAAAUGAAGGAGGUGUGGCCUCUGACUCCUAAAAGUUCAUAUCUUUGUCCACUGAUAUAUUUGCCCAAUCCCAAUCCAGAUUGUCUUGUAUUGAAACUGUUCUUAAUUGUAUAAAUAUAGAUAAUAUAAUAUAAAAAAAAUAUAUAUAAUCGUUUUUUUCAAUCAGAAUAGGAAAUUCGUAUCCACUGUUGCCAAAACAUUAAAAAGGAAAUUUCACAUAAAAAACAAACCCAAAACUUUUUUGAUUUACAAGAAAUAUAUGUUUGCUAGUUUUGUGUUACCAACAGCCACUCUGUCUUUUUGAGCUGAUUUCCUACUCAUGUACUGUGCCUCCACUGGAAUAACCCAACAAUGUGAACAUGAUUUUGGCCUGUACUCUUCCACAGGGCUAGAUGAUUGUGUCAAGAUCAGAUGUGCUUUAGAAUAAGGUCUCAAUUACCCCAGCUCUACUCCAUACACACACGCACACACACACGCACGCGCACACACACACACACACACACGCACACACACACACACAGAGGCACAUAUGUGCCAGUAACUCAUACAUGGCCAUUUUACUAGUUAAAUUAAAGUCAGAUCACUAUCAGGGACCUUUUUUUGUUGAGUGCAGAUCCAUUUCCUCGGCCAAUCUGGUAAAGCUGCCCUGCUGGGAGGCCUUCAGAAGCCAUUAUUUAUUUUCUUAGCUAGUUACUAAUUGUCUGAGCCUUUGGAGUCCAUGUGCAUGGAGGAUGCAUGGCAGUCAUAUGUGACCGUGGCCACGGAUUGGCACUCAGUAUGACUACCAUUUGGUACCAUUUACCAUACGGCCCCAGAGCGGGAGGUGCACGUAAGGUACAUGGGUCGAACAAAGGGUCCAGACAUGAGCUGUACCCCAGUUCCAGCUAUGAGGAUGACAAGGACAAAUGCACUGAUCGAAGUGUUGCAAUUUCCUCCCAUAAUUAUUGUGUCUUGUGUGUCCACUCAACCAGGACAAGCUUCUUAAGGCUGUUCAGGAACAUUAUAGGAACAUGUCACAACUGUAAUCUACUAAAUCUACUUGUAUGUGUCAAGCCCCACACAUACAUUUGAUUCAAAAUAGUUGUUCCUAGUGUUUUUAGUGGCAUAGUUGUAGGGUUCAUAUUUUAUUUAAUUAAAAAGAAUACCUUUCCUGUUCAGACAGUAUCCACUUCUCUAUCUCUAUCUGAAUAUUAUAUACAGAGAUACAGAUAUUUGGAGCACUAUCAGAUACAGAUAGUGUCAAUGUGUUACACCUCUAUUUUGUUUGUUCAUUGUUUAAUGGCCUGGAUGUUGGAAGCUGAGGUGAAACAGGUGAUGCUGUUAACAGCAAAAAAGACAACAAAAAUUUGACAAAUUCAGUUGUGAUUACUAGUGUAUUGACUUGUCUGGGGCCCAAAAAUUCCUACUGGCACCAAUGGUUCUACCCAAAUGUACCCAAAAGACACAGGAUGUCGAGGGAUUCGCAGUUUGCUAAUGCUAACAAUCAUUUAUUUUGUUUAUUAAAGAAUGACAUUUAAAAAAAAAAAAAAUCAGGUUAUAGUUACAUUUAAUGUGUGGAAUGUCUGCAGGAGAUGUUCCUGUUAUAGUCACAAUACAGUUGUUCUCUCACCAGCCUCUAUUUGAAGUUUACAUGCAGCUUGUUAUGAUAUUGAGAGAGACUUUUCUGUGUCAUAAAAUGAAGUUACACAAAUCUUUACCUCUGACAUUGGAGACUCCUUCCGAAAAUGAAAAAUAAGCAUGUCCUUUCAGGAGCCCUCACAAUACUAUCAUCUUAAAAGGAGUGGUUAGAAGCUUAAGGUCUUUCAUGAUUGAUGGAGCAGUCAAUGAUGGAAAGCUCUAAACUCUUGUUUUUGCCGAAUAAUUUGACAUCAGUCAAAGACAGUCUUGACAAAGGUCUGUGAUUGAGUGUGUCAAUGAAAUGUCAUGCGCUUAUCAAAAAUGACAUUAAGGUCAGGCUUUUCAGUAACUCUUAUCUCUCUGAAACUCCCUUCCUGGUACUAAAUAUAGUCCAGGUCAGCUGCUGUAGAGCUCCUCUAUACAGCAUGUUAUGCAACUGACCUCUACAUGAUACAAAGGAAGCAAUGUGACUGGCUGUUUUUGUUCCUGUUUUUCAUGGUCUUUACUAAAUUUGCCACUCACUGGACCUGGAGUUCACAGUGACACUAGCUUCUUGUAGCCAGGACCAAGCACUAUCCUUGGUCUUAAUUUGGAGUCAAUUGGUGCAUUUAGCACAGAACUGGCAGAGUGGCAUCGUCAAGUUAUGUACACUGCAGUACGUGUGUUUCCCAUGAUAUGGAAGGCUAUGGUAGGUAUAUUGAGCACCAAUCUGUGGCCACAAUCACACACAGCUUACAUGCACCCUCCAUGCAAUGGGGCUCUACAAAGGCCCAGUCAGUUAGUCAAGUCAUUUCUCAUUAAAAAAAAUACAUAAAUUUUUC
ensembl:lncRNA